rnacentral:rRNA from 1 species
UACGUAGGGGGCGAGCGUUGUCCGGAGUGACUGGGCGUAAAGAGCACGUAGGCGGACAGGUACGUAUCGUGUGACAGCCGGUGGCUUAACGACGGGAGGUCACGAUAAACGGCCUGACUGGAGGGACCCAGAGGGACGUAGAAUUCCGGGUGGAGCGGUGAAAUGCGUAGAGAUCCGGAGGAAUACCGAAGGCGCAGGCCGCGUCCUGGGGGUUGCCUGACGCUGAGGUGCGAAAGCCAGGGGAG